rnacentral:tRNA from 1 species
CGACGAGCUUGGUGUACUUGGCCAGCACGCCGGUCUUGUACACCGGGGGCAGCGGCUCGAAACCGACCUUGCGCGACUCGAAUUCGUCCUUGUCGACCA